CUAGGAAGUAAUACCCAGUGCCUCCACCCUCACGGUAUCUAGGAAGUAAUACCCAGUGCCUCCACCCUCACUGUAUCUAGGAAGUAAUACCCAGUGCCUCCACCCUCACGGUAUCUAGGAAGUAAUACCCAGUGCCUCCACCCUCACUGUAUCUAGGAAGUAAUACCCAGUGCCUCCACCCUCACGGUAUCUAGGAAGUAAUACCCAGUGCCUCCACCCUCACGGUAUCUAGGAAAUAACUAAGUUGCUUUUGAUUUUACAGCGUCAUAGGCAGAAGGGACUUAUGUUUGAGCUUAAACUCUUUGGCUUUGAACUUAAACUCUUGAGUUAAUGCUGAAGUGAGUUAAGACUUUGGGGUACUGUUGGAAGGGCAUGAAUUUGUUUAGAAUUUGAGGACAUGAGACUUGGAGGGGACAGGGGCAGAAUGACACAGUUUGGCUGUGUCCUCACCUAAAUCUCAUAUUGAACUGUAGUUCCCAUGGUCCCCAAGUAUUGUGGGAGGGGCCUGGUGGGAGGUAAUUGAAUCUUGGGGUUGGUUACCUUCAUGCUCUUCUCUUGAUAGUGAGUUCUCACAAGAUCUGAUGGCUUUAUAAGGGGCCGUUCCCCCACUUCUGCUCAGCACUUCUCCUUGCUGCCACAGUGUGAAGAAGGAUGUGUUUGCUUCACCUUAUGCCAUGCUUGUAAAGGCAUAAAGAGUUAACAGCAUUACCAGUUCCAUGAAGAGUGUACAGCAUUACCAGUUCCAUGAAGAGUGUACAGCAUUACCAGUUCCAUGAAGAGUUAACAGCAUUACCAGUUCCAUGAAGAGUUAACAGCAUUACCAGUUCCAUGAAGAGUGUACAGCAUUACCAGUUCCAUGAAGAGUGUACAGCAUUACCAGUUCCAUGAAGAGUUAACAGCAUUACCAGUUCCAUGAAGAGUGUACAGCAUUACCAGUUCCAUGAAGAGUGUACAGCAUUACCAGUUCCAUGAAGAGUGUACAGCAUUACCAGUUCCAUGAAGAGUUAACAGCAUUACCAGUUCCAUGAAGAGUGUACAGCAUUACCAGUUCCAUGAAGAGUUAACAGCAUUACCAGUUCCAUGAAGAGUGUACAGCAUUACCAGUUCCAUGAAGAGUGUACAGCAUUACCAGUUCCAUGAAGAGUUAACAGCAUUACCAGUUCCAUGAAGAGUUAACAGCAUUACCAGUUCCAUGAAGAGUUAACAGCAUUACCAGUUCCAUGAAGAGUGUACAGCAUUACCAGUUCCAUGAAGAGUGUACAGCAUUACCAGUUCCAUGAAGAGUGUACAGCAUUACCAGUUCCAUGAAGAGUGUACAGCAUUACCAGUUCCAUGAAGAGUGUACAGCAUUACCAGUUCCAUGAAGAGUGUACAGCAUUACCAGUUCCAUGAAGAGUUAACAGCAUUACCAGUUCCAUGAAGAGUGUACAGCAUUACCAGUUCCAUGAAGAG
rnacentral:lncRNA from 1 species